CAGCAGCCACGGUAAUACAGAGGGUGCAAGCGUUAAUCGGAUUUACUGGGCGUAAAGGGCGCGUAGGUGGUUAUGUAAGUGAGAUGUGAAAUCCCCGGGCUCAACCUGGGAACUGCAUCUUAUACUGCGUAGCUGGAGUGCAGUAGAGGGUAGUGGAAUUUCCGGUGUAGCGGUGAAAUGCGUAGAUAUCGGAAGGAACACCAGUGGCGAAGGCGGCUACCUGGACUGACACUGACACUGAGGCGCGAAAGCGUGGGGAGCAAACAGGAUUAGAUACCCCUGUAGUCCCUGUCUCUUAUAA
rnacentral:rRNA from 1 species